CAUUGUUUACACGUCUCUUUGGGUUUUACUUGGCCUACGAACCUGUGACCCGGAUUUUUGGAGAAUCUGCACUCGUUUUUCAGAGUAAUGAUGAACCUCUUCAUUUUCGUCCCAGUGUGGGUUUUACAGCAUGUUGCCCUCUCUCGGUUACUCCAGGAUCCUGCUCAUAAUUGACUGGAGACACAGAUUGGCUUCUUCUGCGCUCUUGCAUCUUUUGAAAUUCACAUUUGUGCAAGACUGAGAGAGCCAACUGCACUAGUAAAAAGGCUACUAGAACUCAUAAUAUUUAAAGGAGGUAUACUAUUGUAUAAAGUG